UGAAACUUUGGCAGUAUACCUUUCUCGCCCCUCAGUGACUUGUGCAGCGUAAUACCUUCAGCAGGAUAUGUUCAACAGAGUAUGGCUGAAGAAUACCCCAUAGUGACUGAGGAUGAGAACCCUGAGCCUGCUGCAGCCCUCCAGCCUGUUGUAGGCCCAACCUGUUAUAGCCCACCAGCCUGCUGUAACCCGCCAACCUCCUGAAGGCACCCAGCCUGCGAAGCCCUCCAACGUUUUAAAAAUAGUUCCUGGUGUGGCUGUAGGAAAUGAGCUGCUGACGAAAUGCGGGACAGCAGUAGCGGAGGUCAGAUAGCAGGCUGCAAAGAAAAAAUGGAAGCUGCAACACCGGAGGUGCAGGUUGCCAAAGAAAACUUGAAAAAAAAAAAAGGAACAGUAUGAGACUGCUAAAAUGAUGACUGUAUAUUAUGCAGCUUAGCUUACUGAACUAAAUAAAGCUCAAGGAUAUUUCAAGAUUUUUUACUGUAAGAUUUCCUUUUACAUGUUAUAGUUUAUAGGUAAGGUCUUUCAAAUAAUUUCAUACCUCAGAAAGGAUACAAGUUUGCUUUACAGUAACAAUGUUGCUUUAGUAACUCUUGGUGAGAUCCAUACUGAUCAUCAGCUAUCUCUUCUUUCAUUGCUAAAAAGAAAUAAGGAAAAAAUAGUCAGUAUUUUAUGAGCUAUUGCAGCAUGGUUUUUUUUUGUUUUUUUUACCAGAAUACAGUAAACUAUGAAGGAUGUCAGUAUUGUCAAUUUUUAACAAGAUUUUCAAUAAUUGUUACUGUAAGAAGUUGAAGUGAGCCUGCGAGAGGCUCACAGACUAGUCAGUGAGUCCCGCCAAAACGAGUCUUAAGGCCCUGAAGGUUUGUUGUUGUGGGGAUUUUGGCGGGAGAGGCGAGCGAGAGAGAGACAGGGUGCAGAGUAGUGGUGGAUUUGCCAUUUGAUUUGCAGGAGUUUGGUCUUGGCAGUGUGCUGUGGGACGUCAGUGAGGUGGCACCGUAGCAGAUACUGUGAACUAAGGAGGCUGCAGUGAGGAACUUGCUGUCCCUGGCUGCUAUGGUGUUAGUACCGCCGUGCAUGGAGGAAGAGCUGCAGUACUUCAGGAUAGUGGUAGUGGUGUACCUUCAGCGCGUUGGGUCGGUGUGCGGUUGGGCCUAUAGGGUGUGAGGGUCCUGGAGGUACUGGUUAGGAUGGGACAGUGUCAGUGGCAUAUAACAUUUCUUGUGUUGGUGCGUGAAGUGUUUAUUUUUCCUGUUUAUUUGUACGUGGAUUUACCCAUUUUCUCAUGGGAUCAGGUAUUUUGGAGUGCCAGCAGUGUGGCCUCUAAGAGUGUUAAGCACUCAUAUUUUAUUUGUGUUUUCUUUACUAUGUACUCAUUUGUGUUUUCUUUAUUAUGUACUCAACCAUUAAAUUUUUAAAUUGU